CUGUCUCUCAAGCCCGGCUUGGUGUUGGGCCGGCCGUCUACUGGACGGUGGUCUGAAAGGCAGUGGCAGCGUUGUUUCCUAGUCUCUAGCGUAUGGGGCUUUGUCACCCGCUUGGAGGCUGGACGACCCUGCAGCCCAAUGUAGAUUUCUACGUUC
rnacentral:misc_RNA from 1 species